CCAGUUAUUCGGAGCAGCAACAUGAUUAGCCUGUGGCAGCACCAUCAUUGGAAACCCACUAAUGUCCUCAUGGUUACUCCAUUCCGUGGUUUGACCCUUCGAGGUGGUGAAGCACAAACUGAAUACCUCUCCGUACAUGAAGAAGGGCCUCAUGAUGAGCUUUAGGAAGAUGGAGCAAUAACACAUGCUGAGUUGGAAAAUAAGGGUAACAAUGCAGUCCAUUUGAAGUAGGAAAAAGAUCAUCCAUAGUUGAAGAACAUGACAGAGAACAGAGGAGUUUCAUCCUCUGAAUAAGGGAAAUCAAAAUGUGAUUUUGGCACCUAGGUUCACUUUGCAUGGAUUGAAAAGAAUCAGAUCUCAUAGUAUAACCAGACGAGUUCCCUGGUGUAUAACUGCUGGUAAAAUUUGCUCUGUCUAUAUCAAGGAUAAGCUGGAUGCACUCAAUAGCUCGGAUUAGUCUUUCUUGGGAUUUCUGAAAUUUGAAGUUAGUGGCUUU